rnacentral:rRNA from 1 species
AGACCCGAAACCCGGUGAUCUAGCCAUGGGCAGGUUGAAGGUUGGGUAACACUAACUGGAGGACCGAACCGACUAAUGUUGAAAAAUUAGCGGAUGACCUGUGGCUGGGGGUGAAAGGCCAAUCAAACCGGGAGAUAGCUGGUUCUCCCCGAAAGCUAUUUAGGUAGCGCCUCGUGAAUUCAUCUCCGGGGGUAGAGCACUGUUUCGGCUAGGGGGCCAUCCCGGCUUACCAACCCGAUGCAAACUGCGAAUACCGGAGAAUGUUAUCACGGGAGACACACGGCGGGUGCUAACGUCCGUCGUGAAGAGGGAAACAACCCAGACCGCCAGCUAAGGUCCCAAAGUCAUGGUUAAGUGGGAAACGAUGUGGGAAGGCCCAGACAGCCAGGAUGUUGGCUUAGAAGCAGCCAUCAUUUAAAGAAAGCGUAAUAGCUCACUGGUCGAGUCGGCCUGCGCGGAAGAUGUAACGGGGCUAAACCAUGCACCGAAGCUGCGGCAGCGACACUCAGGUGUUGUUGGGUAGGGGAGCGUUCUGUAAGCCUGCGAAGGUGGCCUGUGAGGGUUGCUGGAGGUAUCAGAAGUGCGAAUGCUGACAUAAGUAACGAUAAAGCGGGUGAAAAGCCCGCUCGCCGGAAGACCAAGGGUUCCUGUCCAACGUUAAUCGGGGCAGGGUGAGUCGACCCCUAAGGCGAGGCCGAAAGGCGUAGUCGAUGGGAAACGGGUUAAUAUUCCCGUACUUGGUGUUACUGCGAAGGGGGGACGGAGAAGGCUAUGUUGGCCGGGCGACGGUUGUCCCGGUUUAAGCGUGUAGGCUGGUUUUCCAGGCAAAUCCGGAAAAUCAAGGCUGAGGCGUGACGACGAGGCACUACGGUGCUGAAGCAACAAAUGCCCUGCUUCCAGGAAAAGCCUCUAAGCAUCAGGUAACACGAAAUCGUACCCCAAACCGACACAGGUGGUCAGGUAGAGAAUACCAAGGCGCUUGAGAGAACUCGGGUGAAGGAACUAGGCAAAAUGGU